rnacentral:rRNA from 1 species
UGGGGAAUUUUGGACAAUGGGCGCAAGCCUGAUCCAGCCAUGCCGCGUGCAGGAUGAAGGCCUUCGGGUUGUAAACUGCUUUUGUACGGAACGAAAAGGUGCCUUCUAAUAAAGGGCGCUCAUGACGGUACCGUAAGAAUAAGCACCGGCUAACUACGUGCCAGCAGCCGCGGUAAUACGUAGGGUGCGAGCGUUAAUCGGAAUUACUGGGCGUAAAGCGUGCGCAGGCGGUUUUGUAAGACAGAGGUGAAAUCCCCGGGCUCAACCUGGGAACUGCCUUUGUGACUGCAAGGCUGGAGUGCGGCAGAGGGUGAUGGAAUUCCGCGUGUAGCAGUGAAAUGCGUAGAUCUGCGCAGGAAAACCGAUGGCGAAGGCAAUCCCCUGGGCCUGCACUGACGCUCAUGCACGAAAGCGUGGGGAGCAAACA